ACUGCCACAGGCUUCAAAAGGAUCUCUGCUUGCCUGAGGAAUCCGGCAUCAAAUCAGACAAACAUAGCUGCUAAGGUGAAGCAAGACUUACUGCUGGGCACAGGCUUUCUCCAUUAUUGACUUUAUCCAUCUGCUGAAGCAGCCCUGCACGGUGUUAAGAAACACCGGUUCCUUCCAUGUGCUAAUGAUGUUACCACAGCUCUGCACUUUACCA
rnacentral:lncRNA from 1 species